rnacentral:rRNA from 1 species
UUAAGCGACUAAGCGUACACGGUGGAUGCCCUGGCAGUCAGAGGCGAUGAAGGACGUGCUAAUCUGCGAUAAGCGUCGGUAAGGUGAUAUGAACCGUUAUAACCGGCGAUUUCCGAAUGGGGAAACCCAGUGUGUUUCGACACACUAUCAUUAACUGAAUCCAUAGGUUAAUGAGGCGAACCGGGGGAACUGAAACAUCUAAGUACCCCGAGGAAAAGAAAUCAACCGAGAUUCCCCCAGUAGCGGCGAGCGAACGGGGAGCAGCCCAGAGCCUGAAUCAGUGUGUGUGUUAGUGGAAGCGUCUGGAAAGGCGCGCGAUACAGGGUGACAGCCCCGUACACAAAAAUGCACAUGCUGUGAGCUCGAUGAGUAGGGCGGGACACGUGGUAUCCUGUCUGAAUAUGGGGGGACCAUCCUCCAAGGCUAAAUACUCCUGACUGACCGAUAGUGAACCAGUACCGUGAGGGAAAGGCGAAAAGAACCCCGGCGAGGGGAGUGAAAAAGAACCUGAAACCGUGUACGUACAAGCAGUGGGAGCACGCUUAGGCGUGUGACUGCGUACCUUUUGUAUAAUGGGUCAGCGACUUAUAUUCUGUAGCAAGGUUAACCGAAUAGGGGAGCCGAAGGGAAACCGAGUCUUAACUGGGCGUUAAGUUGCAGGGUAUAGACCCGAAACCCGGUGAUCUAGCCAUGGGCAGGUUGAAGGUUGGGUAACACUAACUGGAGGACCGAACCGACUAAUGUUGAAAAAUUAGCGGAUGACUUGUGGCUGGGGGUGAAAGGCCAAUCAAACCGGGAGAUAGCUGGUUCUCCCCGAAAGCUAUUUAGGUAGCGCCUCGUGAAUUCAUCUCCGGGGGUAGAGCACUGUUUCGGCAAGGGGGUCAUCCCGACUUACCAACCCGAUGCAAACUGCGAAUACCGGAGAAUGUUAUCACGGGAGACACACGGCGGGUGCUAACGUCCGUCGUGAAGAGGGAAACAACCCAGACCGCCAGCUAAGGUCCCAAAGUCAUGGUUAAGUGGGAAACGAUGUGGGAAGGCCCAGACAGCCAGGAUGUUGGCUUAGAAGCAGCCAUCAUUUAAAGAAAGCGUAAUAGCUCACUGGUCGAGUCGGCCUGCGCGGAAGAUGUAACGGGGCUAAACCAUGCACCGAAGCUGCGGCAGCGACGCUGAUGCGUUGUUGGGUAGGGGAGCGUUCUGUAAGCCUGCGAAGGUGUGCUGUGAGGCAUGCUGGAGGUAUCAGAAGUGCGAAUGCUGACAUAAGUAACGAUAAAGCGGGUGAAAAGCCCGCUCGCCGGAAGACCAAGGGUUCCUGUCCAACGUUAAUCGGGGCAGGGUGAGUCGACCCCUAAGGCGAGGCCGAAAGGCGUAGUCGAUGGGAAACAGGUUAAUAUUCCUGUACUUGGUGUUACUGCGAAGGGGGGACGGAGAAGGCUAUGUUGGCCGGGCGACGGUUGUCCCGGUUUAAGCGUGUAGGCUGGUUUUCCAGGCAAAUCCGGAAAAUCAAGGCUGAGGCGUGAUGACGAGGCACUACGGUGCUGAAGCAACAAAUGCCCUGCUUCCAGGAAAAGCCUCUAAGCAUCAGGUAACAUCAAAUCGUACCCCAAACCGACACAGGUGGUCAGGUAGAGAAUACCAAGGCGCUUGAGAGAACUCGGGUGAAGGAACUAGGCAAAAUGGUGCCGUAACUUCGGGAGAAGGCACGCUGAUAUGUAGGUGAAGUCCCUUGCGGAUGGAGCUGAAAUCAGUCGAAGAUACCAGCUGGCUGCAACUGUUUAUUAAAAACACAGCACUGUGCAAACACGAAAGUGGACGUAUACGGUGUGACGCCUGCCCGGUGCCGGAAGGUUAAUUGAUGGGGUUAGCCGCAAGGCGAAGCUCUUGAUCGAAGCCCCGGUAAACGGCGGCCGUAACUAUAACGGUCCUAAGGUAGCGAAAUUCCUUGUCGGGUAAGUUCCGACCUGCACGAAUGGCGUAAUGAUGGCCAGGCUGUCUCCACCCGAGACUCAGUGAAAUUGAACUCGCUGUGAAGAUGCAGUGUACCCGCGGCAAGACGGAAAGACCCCGUGAACCUUUACUAUAGCUUGACACUGAACAUUGAGCCUUGAUGUGUAGGAUAGGUGGGAGGCUUUGAAGUGUGGACGCCAGUCUGCAUGGAGCCGACCUUGAAAUACCACCCUUUAAUGUUUGAUGUUCUAACGUGGACCCGUGAUCCGGGUUGCGGACAGUGUCUGGUGGGUAGUUUGACUGGGGCGGUCUCCUCCUAAAGAGUAACGGAGGAGCACGAAGGUUGGCUAAUCCUGGUCGGACAUCAGGAGGUUAGUGCAAUGGCAUAAGCCAGCUUGACUGCGAGCGUGACGGCGCGAGCAGGUGCGAAAGCAGGUCAUAGUGAUCCGGUGGUUCUGAAUGGAAGGGCCAUCGCUCAACGGAUAAAAGGUACUCCGGGGAUAACAGGCUGAUACCGCCCAAGAGUUCAUAUCGACGGCGGUGUUUGGCACCUCGAUGUCGGCUCAUCACAUCCUGGGGCUGAAGUAGGUCCCAAGGGUAUGGCUGUUCGCCAUUUAAAGUGGUACGCGAGCUGGGUUUAGAACGUCGUGAGACAGUUCGGUCCCUAUCUGCCGUGGGCGCUGGAGAACUGAGGGGGGCUGCUCCUAGUACGAGAGGACCGGAGUGGACGCAUCACUGGUGUUCGGGUUGUCAUGCCAAUGGCACUGCCCGGUAGCUAAAUGCGGAAGAGAUAAGUGCUGAAAGCAUCUAAGCACGAAACUUGCCCCGAGAUGAGUUCUCCCUGACUCCUUGAGAGUCCUGAAGGAACGUUGAAGACGACGACGUUGAUAGGCCGGGUGUGUAAGCGCAGCGAUGCGUUGAGCUAACCGGUACUAAUGAACCGUGAGGCUUAACCUU